UGUUAAAUCUCAUCCAUUUCCACAAUUAAAAACCAGCAUGGUUGGUAGAAUAACCAGACCAUUAUAUGUGGCGUGUCAUGAAUACCUCAUUUUGGCAUACGGUGACCAGUUUUUAACGGUAGAGAUGGACCUUUUAGCA
rfam:Gossypium arboreum cultivar AKA8401 contig_11393_1, whole genome shotgun sequence.